AUUAAACGCUGGCGGCAUGCCUUACACAUGCAAGUCGAACGGCAGCACGGGGGCAACCCUGGUGGCGAGUGGCGAACGGGUGAGUAAAGCAUCGGAACGUGCCCUGGAGUGGGGGGAUAACGUAGCGAAAGUUACGCUAAUACCGCAUAUUCUGUGAGCAGGAAAGCAGGGGAUCGCAAGACCUUGCGCUCUGGGAGCGGCCGAUGUCGGAUUAGCUAGUUGGUGGGUAAAGGCCUACCAAGGCGACGAUCCGUAGCGGGUCUGAGAGGAUGAUCCGCCACACUGGGACUGAGACACGGCCCAGACUCCUACGGGAGGCAGCAGUGGGGAAUUUUGGACAAUGGGCGAAGCCUGAUCCAGCCAUGCCGCGUGAGUGAAGAAGGCC
rnacentral:rRNA from 1 species